UAUAAUUUAGUAUAGAAUGUACAUAGAUUUUUGAAGUCUAAGGGGAUAGUUUGAAUCUGUUAAUUAUAA
rnacentral:tRNA from 1 species